AGCGUACACGGUGGAUGCCCUGGCAGUCAGAGGCGAUGAAGGGCGUGCUAAUCUGCGAUAAGCGCCGGUAAGGUGAUAUGAACCGUUAUAACCGGCGAUACCCGAAUGGGGAAACCCAGUGUGAUUCGUCACACUAUCAUUAACUGAAUCCAUAGGUUAAUGAGGCGAACCGGGGGAACUGAAACAUCUAAGUACCCCGAGGAAAAGAAAUCAACCGAGAUUCCCCCAGUAGCGGCGAGCGAACGGGGAGGAGCCCAGAGCCUGAAUCAGCAUGUGUGUUAGUGGAAGCGUCUGGAAAGGCGCGCGAUACAGGGUGACAGCCCCGUACACAAAAGCGCAUGUGCUGUGAGCUCGAUGAGUAGGGCGGGACACGUGGUAUCCUGUCUGAAUAUGGGGGGACCAUCCUCCAAGGCUAAAUACUCCUGACUGACCGAUAGUGAACCAGUACCGUGAGGGAAAGGCGAAAAGAACCCCGGCGAGGGGAGUGAAAAAGAACCUGAAACCGUGUACGUACAAGCAGUGGGAGCCCCACCACCAAAGCGUUUCGCUUUGUGUGGUGCACAAAGAAGCGUAACGACAGCACUGAAUGACGGUUAACGGAGCGCAAGCGACGUUCAACAUACAAAGUCAAGCAGUGGAGCGCUUUGGGGUGGGGUGACUGCGUACCUUUUGUAUAAUGGGUCAGCGACUUAUAUUCUGUAGCAAGGUUAACCGAAUAGGGGAGCCGGAGGGAAACCGAGUCUUAAUUGGGCGUUAAGUUGCAGGGUAUAGACCCGAAACCCGGUGAUCUAGCCAUGGGCAGGUUGAAGGUUGGGUAACACUAACUGGAGGACCGAACCGACUAAUGUUGAAAAAUUAGCGGAUGACCUGUGGCUGGGGGUGAAAGGCCAAUCAAACCGGGAGAUAGCUGGUUCUCCCCGAAAGCUAUUUAGGUAGCGCCUCGUGAAUUCAUCUCCGGGGGUAGAGCACUGUUUCGGCUAGGGGGCCAUCCCGGCUUACCAACCCGAUGCAAACUGCGAAUACCGGAGAAUGUUAUCACGGGAGACACACGGCGGGUGCUAACGUCCGUCGUGAAGAGGGAAACAACCCAGACCGCCAGCUAAGGUCCCAAAGUCAUGGUUAAGUGGGAAACGAUGUGGGAAGGCCCAGACAGCCAGGAUGUUGGCUUAGAAGCAGCCAUCAUUUAAAGAAAGCGUAAUAGCUCACUGGUCGAGUCGGCCUGCGCGGAAGAUGUAACGGGGCUAAACCAUGCACCGAAGCUGCGGCAGCGACGCUUAUGCGUUGUUGGGUAGGGGAGCGUUCUGUAAGCCUGUGAAGGUGGCCUGUGAGGGUUGCUGGAGGUAUCAGAAGUGCGAAUGCUGACAUAAGUAACGAUAAAGCGGGUGAAAAGCCCGCUCGCCGGAAGACCAAGGGUUCCUGUCCAACGUUAAUCGGGGCAGGGUGAGUCGACCCCUAAGGCGAGGCCGAAAGGCGUAGUCGAUGGGAAACGGGUUAAUAUUCCCGUACUUGGUGUUACUGCGAAGGGGGGACGGAGAAGGCUAUGUUGGCCGGGCGACGGUUGUCCCGGUUUAAGCGUGUAGGUGUGUGUUCCAGGUAAAUCCGGUUCACUUUAACACUGAGGCGUGAUGACGAGGCACUACGGUGCUGAAGCAACAAAUGCCCUGCUUCCAGGAAAAGCCUCUAAGCAUCAGGUAACAUCAAAUCGUACCCCAAACCGACACAGGUGGUCAGGUAGAGAAUACCAAGGCGCUUGAGAGAACUCGGGUGAAGGAACUAGGCAAAAUGGUGCCGUAACUUCGGGAGAAGGCACGCUGACANGUAGGUGAAGUGAUUUACUCAUGGAGCUGAAGUCAGUCGAAGAUACCAGCUGGCUGCAACUGUUUAUUAAAAACACAGCACUGUGCAAACACGAAAGUGGACGUAUACGGUGUGACGCCUGCCCGGUGCCGGAAGGUUAAUUGAUGGGGUCAGCGCAAGCGAAGCUCCUGAUCGAAGCCCCGGUAAACGGCGGCCGUAACUAUAACGGUCCUAAGGUAGCGAAAUUCCUUGUCGGGUAAGUUCCGACCUGCACGAAUGGCGUAAUGAUGGCCAGGCUGUCUCCACCCGAGACUCAGUGAAAUUGAACUCGCUGUGAAGAUGCAGUGUACCCGCGGCAAGACGGAAAGACCCCGUGAACCUUUACUAUAGCUUGACACUGAACAUUGAGCCUUGAUGUGUAGGAUAGGUGGGAGGCUUUGAAGCGUGGACGCCAGUCUGCGUGGAGCCGACCUUGAAAUACCACCCUUUAAUGUUUGAUGUUCUAACGUGGACCCGUUACCCGGGUUGCGGACAGUGUCUGGUGGGUAGUUUGACUGGGGCGGUCUCCUCCUAAAGAGUAACGGAGGAGCACGAAGGUUGGCUAAUCCUGGUCGGACAUCAGGAGGUUAGUGCAAUGGCAUAAGCCAGCUUGACUGCGAGCGUGACGGCGCGAGCAGGUGCGAAAGCAGGUCAUAGUGAUCCGGUGGUUCUGAAUGGAAGGGCCAUCGCUCAACGGAUAAAAGGUACUCCGGGGAUAACAGGCUGAUACCGCCCAAGAGUUCAUAUCGACGGCGGUGUUUGGCACCUCGAUGUCGGCUCAUCACAUCCUGGGGCUGAAGUAGGUCCCAAGGGUAUGGCUGUUCGCCAUUUAAAGUGGUACGCGAGCUGGGUUUAGAACGUCGUGAGACAGUUCGGUCCCUAUCUGCCGUGGGCGCUGGAGAACUGAGGGGGGCUGCUCCUAGUACGAGAGGACCGGAGUGGACGCAUCACUGGUGUUCGGGUUGUCAUGCCAAUGGCACUGCCCGGUAGCUAAAUGCGGAAGAGAUAAGUGCUGAAAGCAUCUAAGCACGAAACUUGCCCCGAGAUGAGUUCU
rnacentral:rRNA from 1 species